GCUCUAAAGCUUGGACUGAGCAGUCAAGGGACAGCAUCUCUGCUGGCAGAUGUUAAAAACCCAUUUGAUCCUUUUUGUGCUGGCUGGUUUAUGACUUUCUUGCUUGCAGACUUACGGGAAAAAAACUGCCCUGACAAAGGGAACUCCCAGUGGCCACAUCCAGGUAUUAGGAGAAAAGUAAGGUCCGGUCUAAGCCUUUGCAUCCUGAAGCUGCAAAUUCCCUUGGACUAGCAGAGUGUCUUCUGUUGGGUCAGCCAGUUUUGGCUACUCAUGUGAGCACAAGUCAGGAGAGUUUAUUUGGGAUGAGUCACAUCUUUCCAAACUGCGUUAUGAAAAUCUCACCUCAAAAUUAGGAAUGAACAUGCAAUGAAGUAUGAGGAACUAUUGGGCUCUGUCUUUCUCCUUUAGUCCUUCAAAACAACGUGAAGGCCAGUUUUCUGAAUGACUGGGGUAGUAAUGGAGCACUGUUCUUAUUUGAAUAGCAGCCUAUGGGGAUCCCAGCUCUGUGCAGUUCUGGAAUAUGAAUUGUUAGAACGGAUCUGGCCUGAGAAUCCCUCAAGUCCAGUCUCCUGUCUUUGAUGCUGGCCAGCAUCUUAUGCUUCAGUGGGUGAUACAGUUCAGUAAGUGAUUUUAAAAGUAUACCCAGGCAGCAGCAUAAUCCUGCGCAGAGGCUCCUCUGUUGUGUGUGUGCUGCCUAGCUUAAGAUGGAUUUAUGGCAGUAGGGUAUAAAAGUUUGCCUUAAGUCCUGUGUGAUAGCACGUUGCACAGAAUACUCUAUGCUAUUUCUUAAUCCUGGUUUUGUAUCCAAUUUGUGGGUUUCAGCCUUCAAUUUCAUCAUGUGUCCCUUUGCCCUUUUGUUACUAGAGAAAGCAAACAGCCUUCAGAAGCCAUAGUGAUUGGUUAUAUGCAGUGUUCUUCUGUCUCUGCAUGCAUAUAUAUGCAUGUGUGCAUGUAUGUGUGUGUUAGCACACAGAGGUCUUUUCUCCACUGCUUCUGUCACAUGUUUCUAUGCUGAGCUUUAGUCUAAAACCAGUCCUUUAAACAUACUUUAAGGGAAAAAGAUAACAUCAUUAUAGUAAAUAGAAGCCAAGGUGUUGCUGCCUUCUAACUAUGAGGUUCUUGUAAGAGAGAAUUUAACCUCGCUGACCUGAGUGUUCCUUCUUUCCCAUGCCUAGGACAAAAUGGUUUUGUGGGUAAUAGGAGAGGAUUCUGAUGCAGAACGAGCAGAAGAUGUGAAAUUCUGACUUCCUAAUGAUUCCAGCAGGGAGUUAGGGGUGUAAAGAUAGUACUCAUUAUAUCGUGGCUUUUCUGCUUGGGGUAAGGCUUCCCACUGAGCCUUUUCUUCACACCCAAGGGUUUCACGGUUUCUUUCCUAUCUCGUCCUAUAAUUGCCUCCAGACUGCUCCUGUAGGGGCUGUGGAGCUGGGACAGAUAUUAGCAGCAUGAGGAAAUGUCAGCUUUUAAGUGAAGGAGCUAUUUUGCACUUCCGUGGCGCUGAGCAGUACACUGCUAAAGCUGCAUAUCUUUAUGGGUUUGGGGUGUUCCUUAAGCCAGGACUUGCAGCGGGUGGACAGAAGCAUUGUAGUGGGACCUUAGAAAGCCUGGGGAGAGGCAGUGAGCUCUGUGUCACUGGCAGGAUUUAAAGCAGCACCUGCAGCAGCUCAGGAGAGUGCUGGAAAAUAUGCUUCAUUCUUAUAUAGCCAUCAAAUGCUGCUGUAGUUUGAGGCACAAUCAGUGGAAUUACAGAAACGUGCAUGUAGCUGGGGAGAAUGAGGUAAUAACAGUUAUGGAAAAAACCCACUUGCUGAUAAUGCUCUGCAAGUACAGCAUGGAAAGGGAUUUACUUCCCAUUGUAGCUCAGCUGAUUUCUGCUGGUGCAGAGCAAUGCUGUUGCAGUAGUCAGAGGCAGCCGGAAGCUCCAGGUGAAUUAGUCAGGCUUGCUUCACUUCUUUGAACCAAGAGAUGCAUUUCAGACAGGGUUUUAAAAUGAGGUGAGUGCUCAGUUUUAACAGAACUAGGCAUUUCUGGGUGUUUUUAGUAACUGGUUUACCCUGUGUGUUUGUCAGCUGUGUGUAAAAGCCUCAGAGAAUGCAUUCAGAGUGGAACACGGAGGUGCUCAGUCACUGUGGUGAUGGGUGGGUUUGUGUCAAUAAGAGCAGCUGCUCAUAACUUUCUGGGAAGAUGGACAGAAGGAUUGUUCUGAAAUUACAGCCUGUGCUAAACGAAACCCUUGGUACCCCAGAGCAUCAUUGCUUGUGUUGUGGUACUGGAGUUGUGCUGAGCCACACAAACUUGAAACACAAAGAUGAUCCUUUCACCCGUUCCUCCCCAUCCUGUUUUCCUUUCCAAGUAAAUGCUUGUAUCCAAAUACUUCCUGUAGCAGGAAGCAGGGCUGUUGCAUAGGUAUAGGGUGGAAGCAAGUUUCAUUCUCUGAAGGAAAAGUCUCAGCUAAUGAAGUCCAUGGUCAGUUAAGGGACAAUAAUCAUUUUCUCAUUCACAACUUGAUCCCUUUCCACUGAAAUGGCAGCCUGAGACUGUAUGGUCUGGUUUAGGUGAUAAUCUGUAAUUAAUGACUGCAUAAUGGCAUUUUUGUUUGUAAUGGUGUAUUUGAGGCUACAAUUCAAGGUCAAACGAUUUCCCUCUUACAAUUAAUUCAGUGUUACAGAGGUACAAAACUAAGUGGGUGUUAUCAGCCAGUCCAGCAUUCCUCAUCAGUUAAAGGAUUGCUCCUACAGCUUUUGCAGCACAUCAUAAAGCCUUUGUUCCCAGCUGAUCAAAGCACCACUUCACAGUGAUCAGAUGCUGUCAACAAGCAGAGAUCCUCAGGGCACUUGUGGCUGUUCCUUCUUGCUUCUCUUCAGCAGGGAGCAUUUGUGGCUCCAAUUGUGUUGGCAAGAGGCACAGCUGGUUUUGCUCAGAGAAUACAAUUACAGUCUAAAUGUCUGGCAACAAAGGCAUUAAAAAGAGCUGCAUUCAGAGGCUCCUGGAAUUGAGGAGCUGAUAGCUAUCCCACCGCUCUGCGCUCUGCUACAGCAGACAGGCUGCAAAUGGAACACCUCAGAGUGUUCCUGAUGAGCUUCCAGCGAUCACACUCCUUUCUGACCUCCAGCCCUGGGACUGUGCUAAGUGGUGCUUUCCCAGUGUCCUUCUCCGCACCGCUGCUGAGGCAGGAGUGCUGGAUAACGCUGCUGCCCUGGUCCUACCACCACAGAAGGAGACACAGAGAAGGCAGUUUUCUCAACAGUGACAAAUAUCCCCUGGUGAAAUGUAUGAGAGGAGCUUCAUUCCAUGGGUAGGUAGCUAUGUAGCUCUGAAAAGCUUCUUGAAAAGGUAGACUAGUGUAGAAAAAGAUCCACUACCUUUACCCAGUGCAGCUGAACUGAAUUAUUUGUUCUGAUCAUCGUUUUCUGUUGGUUUGGGUUUUUCGCCUCCCAGCCCACUGCCAGAGCCAGGUUUUUACUGAAAGAAUUGGAGCAAUCCCCAGCCCUGACUAUCCAACACCUUAUCCCUGCUCGGCUCCUGCAGCUGCAGUAUCCAGGUAGAAGAUGGCUUCCUGCUCACACUGGGAUUCAUGGAGACCUUUAAUGUGGAGACACACCCAGCAGUGUUGUGCUCCUGUGACGUCCUUAAGGUAAGGUGAGGUUUAUUGCAUUGCACCACAGCUGCUGUGAGACAGGCCCAGUCCUUUUACUGCAUCUUCUUCAGCUGGGGUUUCACCACGUUAAUUUACAGCUUCGUCUCCCUGUAUCUCUCCUCAUUCAUUAUUUCUUCUCCUCCCUUCAGUUUUGUUGGGUUUUUUUCCAUUUCUUUCAACACCUUCCACUUCUGGGAAAUUCACCACAACCAAACCCAAGCACUCAUGGGUGUGAUGACUUGAUAGAUUUCAUCACAACUUGUGCCUGUGGCGUGGAUCAGUGGUGCCAGGGGAGUCAUUCUGCAUUCAGUUUGCUUGUCUAUAAAAUGGACCCAGUGGUUGCUUCCCAGGAAUUCUGUAGCAGUUAGGAUGCUUGGAGAAAAGCCCUGCUAUGAGUGACCACAGUGAGGAGCCAUCACUAACCACCUGCCUGGGCUUUUAGACUGUGCAAGAAAGGACCAUUCAAGUUCAGGGAGUCACUGCAUUAAAGUCAGUUUGUGUUUCCAUAAGCCGCAUGGGGAAGGAGUGAAGACUCUUUGUUUGCCUUCUCUUGCUCCUUCCCAGUUAAAACACCCAAAAAGCAUUUUUGUUCAUCCUGUGGGAAGACUUUGCCUGCAAAAAAUGGAGAUCCAGGUGAGUGUUGUGAAUGUUACUUUCAUAACCAAUAAUCUCAGGAGCACACACUGGAUGGAAGCUGAAGUACAGGCAACAGGUGGGAGGGAGACCUCUGCUUAGUUCUCAAGUCCAAACUAUUCCCAGAACUUCAUUCUGGAAAGGCCUGAAUAGCCACCACAUAGUGGUGCUUUGAAAUGCUGGUUUCAUACUUAGUUUUCAGGACUGUACCUGUUAAACAGCGUACCUACUGGGUAGCUCCCUUCUGAAGGGAAGUUUUAAGAGAAUCCAGAAUUCCAGCUGAUCCUACAGUUCAGCUCGGGUCCAGACAUAUGGUUUUGUUUUAAGGAACAGUUUUCUCAGUGUGUCAAGAGUUACAAGGUGUGUUUUGAAGCAACAGAGAGCCUGGCCCCAUGCAGGUCACUGCUCACCUUCAGUGUGAGAGCAUCGCAGUCAGUCCCAGUCCUUCCUUUCACUCUCGGUAGAUGUAGAUCUGUGUCCAUGUGAGUGAGGCGGUGUGGAGAAGGUGCAGAGAAAAGGUGGGUUCUCCCCUCAGAGCCUUUAGCAGUAGGGCACGAAUCGGCUCCUCAGGGGAAUAUCGUGUUUUCUGAUCCUGGCAGGUUUGCCGUGUCCCAGUCCUGAAGCACCACCCCAUGGUCACACCGCACCAGUGCAGCGCGGUACCUUCUGGGUGACAGCUCUGCUUCCUCCUGUGACAUCGGGUAUGUGCUGCUUGAAGUAGGCGACCCAAGGCGCUGCCAGCCCCAUCGGACCGAAUUCCUCAGGGAUUAAACACUUGUGCUGCUUGGAGAAUUAAAAUGUUGUGAAGUCUUCGGUAACGGACUGUCGAAGGAAGGCACCUGGAACAAACCAUGGCACAGUGCAGCAGUAAGUCAGUGCUGUCUGUGAACUUUAAAUGAUUGGUGUAAAUAUUUGUAUUUAAAACAUACAAGUUGUGGUAUGAGAAACAUUUUUUCAGCCUGUUCCAGUACUUGUUCCAAUUCCUGCCAUUCUAAAAUCUCUAAAAGCACUGAUGGUUAUUAAAAGAAAA
ensembl:lncRNA